rnacentral:tRNA from 1 species
AGGGACUUAGGUUAGUUAAUAGACCAAGGGCCUUCAAAGCCCUAAGGGGGAGUGGAAUACCCCCAGGCCCU